rnacentral:rRNA from 1 species
AUGGCCGCCAGAAGGCACGCCGGGAGCAGCUCCGGUUCCACUUCGGCGAACCUAAGCAUGAAGCUGCUGGUGGAGGUGGACAGACGCGGCACGCCCAGGCGCGUGGUGUACGCCGAGGCUGGCAAGGACGUCGUCGACUUCCUCCUCACCUUCCUCACCUUGCCGAUCGGCACGGUCGUCAAGCUGCUCCGGAGGAACUCCAUGCCCAUGGUAGGCUGCGUCGGCAACCUCACCGGCGGCUUUGUGAGGGCGGGCGUGACCUACACGGUCAUGGACGACCUCGAGGUUGCUCCCAGGUCUAACGUCGAUUUCAUCACCAGCCUCAACAAAUAUGGUAUCAGGGACAUCAGCUGUCUCCACGGGAAGGAUGUCCAAGUUGGCCACACCGAGGGUCUCCAGAUACUGAGGGCGUCACUCAAGUCGAAGACGGUCCUCACCGACGUCUUCCUUCGGACGAACACUCCGAGUCCGAGUCCGAGGGCCUUAACCGCAGGGUGA